rnacentral:rRNA from 1 species
AUACGGAGGGUGCAAGCGUUACUCGGAAUCACUGGGCGUAAAGCGCGCGCAGGCGGCUAUUUAAGUUGGAUGUGAAAGCCUACGGCUCAACCGUAGAACUGCAUCCAAAACUGUCAGCCUAGAGUCUGGGAGGGGAAGAUGGAAUUAGUUGUGUAGGGGUAAAAUCCGUAGAGAUAACUAGGAAUACCAAAAGCGAAGGCGAUCUUCUGGAACAGUACUGACGCUGAGGCGCGAAAGCGUGGGGAGCAAACAGGAUUAGAUACCCCAGUAGUCC